UCAACAAAAAUAAAUAAAUCAGGAAGUCUCUUAUUGACACUACUUUCUGCAAAUACCGGCUUGGACCAGAAUUUUUUGUUUUUUCGUUUUCCUGGUAAUUUUUUAUCUCUUUAAUCAAGUUAAAUUUAAGGACCAAAUGAGCUACGGGCACUGCCACACUCGGGAGCCCGCCCAAAUCGCACCCCUUGAUGGUGAGUGUCAAGCAGAGAGGCAUUGAGUUCUAAUUUUUAAAGACUUUGGUAUGACUCGGCCUGGAUUUGAACUCAUGACCUUCCAGUCUCAGGGUGGACGUCUAUCACAAAGCUACUAAGCUGAUUAUUGUGGAUUUUUGCAAUGCAUCACAUUUUGGGGAGCAGUUACAAAGUAGGGGGCAUUGUCCCCCUUUGCCUGUACCAAUAUCCGGCCUUGCUCAAACAAAAUUCUGUUUCCAUGGUUACAUGAAGGCAUUCUGUUUUUAUUCUGUUUGGUACCUGAAAAGAGAUGCGGUUUUUACUGCUAUUCUUAUUAGUAUUUUGUUUCACCAUCAUUGUUUGACCCACAAUUGUGGACCUGGCAGACCUGCUGUUCAGCAAGUCUUCCUAUUUUGAUGUGUCAAAUGGUUUUCGUGUGACAUCAAGAGGCUGAAUGAGAACAACUUCUCUCUUCAAUUAAGCAAGAUCACGUGUAAUCUUCCUUAUCAUUUUUAGGUUUGCUGAGGUUGAGAUAGACAGGCUGCAGCAGAAUUAGCUGCUCUCACCUGAAGACAUGGGGGAUCUACUGAUCGAGAAGACUCAGCAGAUGCUCGAAGAGCAGGAACUAUCACAGGGUUGCCUGCCAGGCUGAGGGAAAUGAUGCUGCUCCGACAGAGCCGCAACACGAGAUGGUGUUUUGGCCCCAAGACCAGGAACACCUGACAAAAAACCAGGCUAUACCAGCACUGUCAUCCAAUUCAGAGCCAGACUGUCUCUCAAUUCUGUCCUCUCCAUUGACAGCUGAUCUUCCUGUGUCCUCCAUCUCUAGCCAGGAUGAACAGGUGAAGCUGCCUCCACCUGCUCCAGACUUUCAUACAGAGGCCUCACUGGCCGCCGCUGGAGAACCUCAAGGACUUCUGACUGAAGAUAUUUUUUAUGAUUCCAUUACAGACUCUGUUGUUAAACCAAAUCCUGGGAUUUUAUUUCAAAUUUUUAAUUGUUUACUGUGCUGCUUUGUUCUUCCUGAAAAAAAUUAUUAAAAUUGUUAUUUUAA